rnacentral:rRNA from 1 species
AGACGUCUACAUUAGAUACCCCCGUAGUCCCAGCCGUAAACUAUGCGCGUUAGGUGUAUCGGUGACCACGAGUUACCGAGGUGCCGAAGGGAAACCGUGAAACGUGCCGCUGGGAAGUACGGUCGCAAGGCUAGAAACUUAAAGGAAUUGGCGGGGAGCACCACAACAGGUGGAGCCUGCGGUUUAAUUGGACUCAACGCCGGGAAGCUCACCGGAUAGGACAGCAGAAUGAUUGCCGGGCUGAAGACCCUGCAUGACUAGCUG